AAUUAUAAUAUCAUAUUAAAAAAAAUCCAAUUAAAGGUUCAAGUCUCAUUAAAAGUCCCAUGGCAAAAACCCGUGAAAAACAAAGCAAAUUGUGAAGCAAUUGCAGACAAGACAAGAGGGGAGAAAUCAAAUGAGUUUCAAAUGUGGCCACUUUGAGUCGUCUUCAAUCUUCAUCUUCCUUUCUUUUCUCUUCCUCUUUAUGUGCUGUGUAGAUAUAUAUGCGACACAAGAAAUUCAUCAGUUUAAUGAAACCCAACAACAUGAAUAGAGUGAAAAUAAGACUGACCAAUUAUGGGGAGAUACGAAGUUGGAGGUCGUAGUUGUCGUAUUCAGAUUGCUGCUCCUCCUGAAUCUGUUUGGCUGAGGCCACUGCAGAAUACCUGCACUCUUCUAAGUGGAUUAAUUGGAGGGUUGGGAUUUCUCCAAUGCCGGCGGGGAUUUCCUCUAGCUUCCUACAAUAUCGUAUAAAGAGAUGGCGGAGUCUAGGGAAGUUGGUUUCAUCAGCUCUCCAACGCACCAGACGUGAAUUAUAGAGUAGUAGAAACUGCAAUGAGCUGAAUUCAUCUCCUUCUGCUAUUUCCCACUCUUCAUUUGCUUCUUCUUCUUCUGUCUCAUUGCUUUUGAAGGUACAAUAUCUUAUCUUGAGUACUUCCAGAUUCGGUAGUGCACACAGAGCCGUCGUCACUGCCGGAGUUAUUACACAACCAAAGAUAUUUAAUUUUCUAAGAGUAGAUGGAUAUUUGGGUACGUGCAUAUAUUGAUCGCAUGAUGACCUCCAACUUAAUGUUUGGAGUUUGUGAAGAUGACUCAGAUCAACUACUUCACUCACCCAUGAGCCUUUAACCGCAUAAUAGAUUUUCAAGCUUUUUAUAUUUGGAAUGCUUUCCAAGAAACCCCUUCUAAUCACUGACGAACUUAUCCUCACAUUCCGUAUCGUCUGCAGCUUCUUCAGAACAAUUUUUUUCAUGUAAUCAUCUUCUAUCAUGAGAUAUGCACCCAACAUAAUGAGAUGUCUUAACUCAGACAUCUCCCACAACUCAGCUGGACAAGAGCCAUCGCCUAACAGAGCAAUCAACGUUUGCAAAUUACACAAUCUUGAUAUUCCACUUCUUGGCAAUGACUUGCAAUUGAUAGAUAAGUAGCGUAAGUUCACAAGUUGUAAUAUUUCUUCCGGGAACUCAAUCUUACGCAUUUCUAAUAAAUCCAACACCCUAAGCAAGUUUAAUGUGAAAACCAUGGGAGAUACAUUCCUAUCCAACUUGACAAAUAGUAGAAAUGAUCGAACAAGUGACAUCUCUGAUGAAGAAGCAUACUCAUCAAUAUCUUCCAUUCCAUAUGAUGUGUGAGUACUCACACGACGCAGCUGGUUAGAGAAUGUGAGCUCGGUGGAUUUCUUGACAUGUAGAAACUUCUCAUCAUCAGCUUUCCUAAUGCAUAAAUCUCUCAAAAGAUCAUGCAUGAUGUACCUCUUUGCUUUUCCAUACCAAUUAUAACUUGUAAUAACCGAAACUAGAUUCCUUUCUACAAGUGAGUUUAAAUAAUCCUCUGCCUCUUCCUCCAAACUUUUAUCUCCAUUCGAUUUCACAAAUCCUUCUGCUACCCACAUCUGUAUGAGUCUCAAGGAGUCAAUCUUAUAAUCUUCGGGGAAUGUUGCCAUAUAGAGGAAACAUGGUUUCAAGUGAAGCGGCAAAUGGUUAUAACUUAAGGAUAGUAUAUUGGAGAAUUGCUUGUCUGAUUCAGCAAUUGCAGCUCUUACAUCGUUCCCAAUAUUCUCCCAAACAUCUUUCAAUCUUUCCACCUUUGACAAGAGCCCUCCAAUCACAUUGAUAGCUAAAGGAAGCCCACCGCAAUCACUCGCAAUCUUCUCUCCUAUCCCUUGUAACUCAUGAGGCCAAUCCUCUUCUCCAAACACAAUUUGGCUAAGUAGAUCCCAACUUUGAGACUCGCUCAGCAACUGCACCUGAUGAUGCAGACUCUUGGAGUCUGCAUAUUUGGCGACAUCCGAUUCCCUAGUGGUGAUCACAAUCCGACUCUUGUUGUUGUUGUCCGGGAAGCUCCCCCUUAUCUCAUCCCAGAAUUUGAUGCUCCAAAUAUCAUCUAAUACAACCAUGUAUCUUCUACUGAACAAGCUCUGAUACAAAAUAACUUUUAACUCACUAUCGCUCUUUCCAUUAUGUUUGUCACAUUCUUGUUUUCCAAUUAUGCACUGAAUAAGGCUUAAUAGAAUUGAGCGCAUAUUGUAAUCUUGUGAAAUUGUGGUCCAAGCAAGAUAGCUAAAGUGGUGAAGAAUGAGUGGAUCUUGAUAAAGUGUUCGAGCAAGAGUGGUUUUACCUAUACCACCCAUACCCACGAUGGGCACGAUCUCCAGCUUGGUCUGAUUCCCGGUCAGCCGAUCCUUCAACUGCAUCAGAACUUCAUCAACUCCCACCACGACGCUCUUCGAACUCGAGAAAGAAGCACCACUCCAUGAGCUGCCAGUUGGCUUCUUGUUUGUCUCCACCUCCACGAGCUCCUCAACUUGUUGCGUUAAAGAAUCAAGUUUUUGUGUCACAAGCAGCACAUCUGGUGUCGCGUCUUCUUCUUCUUCUUCUUCUUCUGGCAUCGAAAACAGUUGUUCAAGCAUGUAAGAUUCAUGCAUCGAGAAAAUUCGUCUAACCAUGUGAGAUUCAACGAUAUCUUCUGCUUCAUUUGCUACGUCUCUGAUUUGGCACUCCAAGCUUGGUAUUUUGGAGAGUAGUGGAGUUUUUUGGAGAAUCUGCUGCUGCAGGUAAGAAGCUUUUUCGAGGAGGGAUUGGAGUUGUGGUUUCUCACGUCCAAGAAUCCAGUGUGUUUGUUCGGGAUCCAGAAUUCCUUGAAGGAUGGUGAUGAGGGAUUGAAGAUUGUAUGCCAUUUUUCAGAUCUCUUCUCACUCGAAAAAUAAAAAAAACAAAAGGAAAGGAAAGUGGUGUUCAGGUAAAUAUGGCUGCCAUUAUUAAGGCCAUCUUUGUCGGUAGGAAAAUUGGGGAGUGCUCACUCUCUCAUCUAGUUUGGAUCAAUGGUGCAACGACAUUUGUCAAUAUUUGAUUGAUUGAGCAGAUUUUGUUAGGAUAACUAGUUUGAAUCAUUUCGUCAGUCACGCAUAUAAUAAUUCCAUGCUAAUCGGAUAAAAUAAAAAUUAAAUAGAUAAAUAAUAAACAAAGUCAAUGUUUCAUGCAUUGUUUGAAAGAAACAAACAACACCCCUUCUAAAUAUGGGGUUAAGUAAAAUGGCGGAAAAAUAUUUCUGCUAAGCAAUUCUGCUUCUAUAUUAUGCGGAGGCAAGCUACGCAGGCCCCGUCCGUAGGGCGUACGUGCUCGAGAUCGGCGAUGAGGUCGUCGGCAUCUUCGAUCCCGACGGAUAUACACACGAGAUCCUUGGUCAGACCUCGCGCCUCGCGUACCGCUGCAGGUAUGCAUGAAGCAGGGCAAGCUGAUGAGGGACUUGACGCUCCCUGUCGUUCCAAAACAAACACUUUCAUGCUUGAGUUAAAAUUACUCGGGAGCGUGGCGGGCAAAUCGAGUAACGAACCGAGAAUACUCACCGAAACUCACGGUUAUGCUGAAAUACUUUGUCGUCUCAACGACGUGCUUGGAGAGAGCCAACGACCCCGUUAAGAAGCUCAGCACGGAUCCUGCACCCUUCGCCUGCACCACGGGGGCAGAUCAAUUAUAUAAUAGUGAAUAUUGUUGUGAGUGGAGUUUGAACUCUACUAUUGUUGUGAGUGGAAUUUGAGGAUCCUAUUGCUAUAAAUGGAAGUGACAAACAUAUUGUGUACAGACCAAAACAGAAAAAGUGACGACGAUAUUGUGAACGAAGAGAGUAGUAAAAAUUACAUACACCUCGGAUCAGUACCUGAGAGUAAUGCAAAGAUUUCCAAUUCUUGUAUAAUCAUAAGUUCCAGGUUCCGUAGCUGAAGGCUGCAGAACAACAGAAUCAGUUGCAAAAGGAAAACUAAAGUUACUUCAACGUUCAGAGACAUUCCUCGAUUUUCAGAAGAGCUUCAAUAAACACCAUUACCCCCAAAAGGCUUCUUCUGAUCUCUCACUUUACAGGAAACCUCUCAAAACAUCAAAGCUAGAACUCACCUGCUUGAAAGUUGCUGUUUGAUAUAGAGGCGUGCUUAAAGCCUCAUAAGGAUCAAAGUCAUUGGAAAAAUUCAUCAACACCGUGGAAACACUUGGCUCCACUUGGCGACUUGUUUGUAUGAUCUCUUCUUCUGUCACAAGUUUAUUACAUUACAAUUGCGCAAACUUUAACACGUCAUGCCUUAACAAGCACGAGCUACAGUAAAGAUAUAAACGUGUGUGUUUCCCUAAAACAGCUUGAGUAUGUAAUAUACAGCUACCAUUUGUGCGUUCGGCAACUCCAUCAACCAAAGCAGACGUGCUGACAUCCAUCCCUUUGUAUCUCAAGCAAUGGAAACAAACAGAGAUGCUGUAAGAGAUCUGUAAAUGUUAGCGCAAAAUGGUAGUUAUGUUGCGAUCAGUUUAUUGAUCAAAGAUAGAGGUUGUAUGUAUGGCAUUUUGUUACAGAGGAAACAAGGUAGUCAGGCAUUAGUUGGCUGGAAACAUCAAAUAGCAAAUGGCAAGAUAAAGGAUAAACAGAGAGCUAAAACACUUUAAAAUUUUCUGCAGAAUGGUAAUAAAACGAGUGAUUGCAUAGCCUAAUACUUCUGAAUUUAAUACUUCCAAAUUUCUCAAAGGGCAUCUGUGGAGUAAUGAUACUUCUCACUGAUUUGAAACAUAGUAUAGUUGCAAUUGGUUCUUGUGUUCAUUAUUUUAAGUGUAUAUUUCAGGACAUUUGUUUAAAUAUUUAUUUAAAGUGAUACAUCUUGUUUUUGUUUGUGUUUGUGAUCAGCUUGAGAGAAUAGUUUGAUCUGGCUGCAAAAAGGAUGAUCGACUCGGAUAAAGGAGUGUUUGUUUUUUCUUAGAAUUUGUUUCAAGAUGCUGAUAUCAUCACAAGUGGCAUGUUACCUCAUCUUCGAGAUUUCAUAUUGUUCAAGAAAAUAUUCAAGUUGUGAAUGGAUUCGAGUUUGACAUUGUACAAUUUUGAGACAUUUAUGCAUAUUACUACUUUGUCUUAGUGUCAUAUUUUGAAUAAUCUUAUACCCUAUUCGUCUAAUAAAAAUAGUCAUAUAUUUUCAUUUUAAAACAUUCACAAAAAAUAGUCCUAUUUUAUUUUCAAACAAGGUCAACGACAAAUUAAUAGUACAUACUAUUAUCUUUAUAUCAAUUUAUUUUAUCUAUUCUACAAUACAUGGUUAACUACUUUAAUUUAGUGCUCGUUUGGUUCACGUAGAGGAAUAGAAAUGGAAUGAAAUCAAAUAAAGGAGUGUAAUGGUAACAAUGAAAAGGAAUCACUUGUAAGAUAUUUCCUUUUUUUUUUUUUGAGGAAUAAUAAUAAUGCACGGUUCUGAAAAAUAUCACCAAACAUAGAAGUUUGUAGGUUGUGUUGUAAGCCUUUUUAAAAAAUUGGCAAAAUUUUCAUUUUUGUUGAAGAUUGAUUCUUCAAGACUUGUACAUGCAUUAAUAUACUUGGGUUUCUUUGGAUUUUAAAGUUGCAUCUAGGGCUGUAAACGAGCCGAGCCGAGCCGAAUACAAGCAGGCUCGAGCUCGGCUCGUUUAAAUAUUCGGGUGUUCGAGCUCGGCUCGAGCUCGAUUCGAGCUUUUAUCUUGAUGAUCGAGCUCGGCUCGUCACCCACAUACUAAGCUCGAGCUCGGUUCGAGUUCGGCUCGGGUGAUGCUCGAUAAUGUCGAAUUCGAGCUUGAGCUCGAGCUCGGCUUGUUAGAUGUUCGUAUUUAUGAUGUUCAAGCUCAAAUUUGUUAUAAAUUUAAGAAAAUAUUUUUAAUUAAUAUGUUAUUCGAGUUCGAGUUCGACUCGUUUAAGGCUCGUUUACUAACUCGAUUGAAGGCUCGACUGAAAGUUCGUGAACAGGCUCGCGAACAUGUUCACGAACAAUCGAAUUCGAACAUGUUCGCGAGCUCAACGAGCCGAGCACUGUCAGGCUCGAGCUCGGCUCGAUAAAAAUUUUGAGCUUGAAAUCAGGCUCGAGCUCGGUUCGUUUAUUAUCGAAUUGAGCUCCGAACGAGCUUUUUUCGAGCCGAAUAUCGAAUAGCUCGCGGGUAGCUCUGUUCAUUUACAGCCCUAGUUGCAUCAAACCAAAAAACUUACAUAUAUAAAGAAAUUAAAGGAGAAAAAAAAAGGAGGGGAGGACAACUUGCUAGAAAAAAAAAACAAUGGGGCAAUUUAAAAUUGAUAAAAAUAGUUAUUCAAAUGAGGAAAAAACAAGGCAGUAAAAAAAACACGAAAAGUGAAAAACAAAGCAAAUUGUGAAGCAAUAGUAGACAAGACAAGAGAAGGGAAAUCAAAUGAGUUUCAAAUGUGGCCACUUUUAGUCGUCUUCAUCUUCCUUUCUUUGCUGAAAUCGGUGCUAAAAAAAUAAAAUAAAAAAUUAUUACGAUACAAAUAUAUGUGUUUGGAAAGCAAGGCGAAAGAUUUUAUUUAUUUUUGGAUAGGCAGAAAGUGAUAAUAAUACUGACCAAAUCAUCAUCUGAGUGAGUCGAUACGAAGUUGGAAUUGGUAGUUUUCGUAUUCAGAUUGCUGCUCCUCAUGAAUCUGUUUCGCUGAGGCGUCUGCAGAAUCGCUGCAACCAUCUAACUCGAUUAAUUGGAGGGUUGGGAUUUCUCCAAUGCCGGCGGGGAUUUCCUCUAGAUAAAGACAAUAUUCUAAACAGAGAUGGCGGAGUCUAGGGAAGUUGGUUUCAUCAACUCUCCAACGCACUAGAUAUAAAAAAUCAAGAUGUAGAAAGUUGGAGUUGGAGUUGGUAGUUCUCGUAUUCAGAUUGCUGCUCCUCCUGAAUCUGUUUGGCUGAGGCCACUGCAGAAUCGCUGCAAUUAUCUAAGUGGAUUAAUUGGAGGGUUGGGAUUUCUCCAAUGCCGGCGGGGAUUUCCUCUAGCUUCCAACAACUUCGUAUAAAGAGAUGGCGGAGUCUAGGGAAGUUGGUUUCAUCAGCUCUCCAACGCACCAGUAGUGUAUGAUUGAGUUGUAGAAAGUGCAAUGAGCUGAAUUCAUCUCCUUCUGCUAUUUCCCACUCUUCAUUUGCUUCUUCUGUCUCAUUGCUUUUGAAGCUACAUUUGUGCAACUUGAGCACUUCCAGAUUCGGUAGUGCACACAGUGCAGUCGUCACUGCCGGAGUUAUUACACAAAAAUCCAGAUUUAAUUCUCUAAGAGUAGAUGGAAACUUGACUGCGUGCAGAUAUUGAUGCCAUGNAAAAUCCGUGAAAAACAAAGCAAAUUGUGAAGCAAUAGUAGACAAGACAAGAGAGGAGAAAUCAAAUGAGUUUCAAAUGUGGCCACUUUGAGUCGUCUUCAUCUUCAUUUCUUUUCUCUUCCUCUUUAUGUGCUCUGUAGAUAUAUAUGUGACACAAGAAAUUAGUUGGUUUCAUCAACUCUCCAACGACACUAGAUGUAAAAAUACAAGAUGUGAAAGUUGGAGUUGGAGUUGGUAGUUCUCGUAUUCAGAUUGCUGCUCCUCCUGAAUCUGUUUGGCUGAGGCCACUGCAGAAUCGCUGCAA
rnacentral:lncRNA from 1 species